rnacentral:tRNA from 1 species
UCUUUUUUGGCGAAAUUGGUAAACGCUUGGACUUUAAAAGUCCAUCUCUUCUGGAGUUUAGGGUUCAAAUCCCUAAAAAAGAA